AUUACUUUCAGAUCUACCAAUCAGAACUGAAAGUAAAUCUCAAUAAUAGUGUUUUGCCGAACACACCAGUACCGAGUCGCCAUAUUUAAGCGACUUGCGCAAUGUGGGCAAUCAAGGAUAAUUUGAUAGCGUUAUUGGAAUCAGCUUUGGCAGAAAUUGCGGAAUAAACAUGCAGUCGAAGAUUAUAUGCUUUAUUCAUCAAGUGACUCUUCCUCUAUCCAAAAAUCGCGUCAAUCCUUGGAAGAUGGAGGUGAUUCCCUACUGUUGUCGCUGGUGAAACUGGAUAAAGCGAGGCCGCCGAUCUCGUGGCUGGACGAGCCCGUCGGUGAAUUGCUGCUGCUCCUGGCACCGCUCAAGG